rnacentral:tRNA from 1 species
AAGAAACUAGUUUAUUUAAAACAAGGGAUUUCGGCUCUCUAAUUCUUAGGUUCUAAGGUUUCUUU